rnacentral:rRNA from 1 species
AACGUAGGUUCCGAGCGUUAUCCGGAUUUACUGGGCGUAAAGCGCGUUCAGGCGGUUUGGCAAGUCGGGCAUGAAAUCUCUCGGCUCAACCGGGAGAGGUUGUCCGAUACUGUCAGACUGGAGGGCAGUAGAGGGUGGUGGAAUUCCGGGUGUAGUGGUGAAAUGCGUAGAGAUCCGGAGGAACACCAGUGGCGAAAGCGGCCACCUGGACUGCACCUGACGCUGAAACGCGAAAGCUAGGGGAGCGAACGGG